GUUUCAGAUGAUGGUAUUGUGGAUUGCCUGCUGCAGUUCACAGCACUGAGAGACUGACAGAACACAGGUGAAGCUGAGUGGAGCAGAGGAAAGUGGUGCACAAGAGAAGGUGUCCUGAAGUGCUGGGCUGUGUGUGAGCACUCCAGAACUGCUCUGGGGAGUAGUGCCUCAGCUUUGUGCUCAGUACAGGAUGAUUCAAAAUGCAAACAGGAUAUGGGAUGUUGCUGGCCAGGAUGAAGGAACCAAAACUGAGACUGCUGAGGCCUUGAAGACACCAGGAGAUUUUAAUGGAUGUGGACGGUCUCCCCUGGGGCCUCCAUCCACACCCUCUGCUGGGUGUCAGAGCUGAAUAAGGAAUGAGAGCUGUGCAGCCUGAGAUGGAAAAGCCUGAUAGAAAGAGGGGGAAAGAUGCCUCUGCUGAUAGUGUCACCAGAUAGGUGUCAUCUGUGAAGCAGAGUGAAACUGCAAUCAGCUACCUCCUUGACACCCUCUAAAUUAUUCUCUUGUACUAGGACAUCUUACCCCACCUCUAAGCUCACAGGCAGGUUAAAACAAAUAAUGAUAUUUCAACUAGUCUGACAUACUCAUGGGAUUGAGCAAGAGGUGGGGACAGUGAGUGACGAGGUGUUGAGUGGGGAAUCCUGUUUUAGAAGUGAGCUUUAUGCCUUACUAAUACCUGCUUGCUGCAGGCAGCCUCUGGUUUCUGUGCCCAUGGUCUUGACCAGAAUGGGAGUGUCAGAGGGGUUCUGGCACCAUGAAUACUGGCUGCCACCUGGAGCUAUCUGGGAAGACUUGAAGCAGUCUGCAGACAUAUACUACCCACAGCCUCAGCACCUUCUACUCUGCAUCCCUGUUAUUGAUCUUUGUCCAAUGCAUCUUUGAAAGGGCAUUGGGGGUGAGCAACAAGUGGAGAUUCUAAGUUCAGACCAAUGCCACACUGGAAGGCUUCUACAUUCUGCUGGGCAGAGCCCCAAAGAAGGUGAGUGUCCCAUUCUCCCAAGAGCCCAGGCAAGCAACACCUUCUCUCUGUCUCUACCCCAGGCCAGGCCAACCAGCCUCACAAGCAAGGUUACUGUUAACCACCCUUCCAGGGAAGAGAUGUAUAAGCAGAUAUUGCAGCAGCUUCCAACAUGUUCAACAGCUGCAAUCGCAGCACCUCCUGACCUGUUGCAUGUCAAACACAGCAGCUGCUGUGAGAGCUGCUUGCUCCGGCAGGAAGGCAGCCACUACUACCUCUUCAGGUAGAGUCUAUUAAGGCUGCUUAUUUUGGCAGAACCGCAAGUCCUUCAGAAUCACAGAAUCAUUUAGGCUAGAAAAACUCUCUGAGGUCACCAAGUCAAACCAUUCUCCCAGCACUAUCAAGGCCACAUCUACACAUCUACAUCUACACAUGUUUUAAAUCUCUUCAAGAAUGGGGACUCCACCACUGCCCUAGACAGUCUGUGCCAGGGCUUGCAGUUUUUCCAAUCUAAACCUCCCCUGGCACAACCUGAGGCUAUUUCAUCUUGUUCUACUUUCUCUCAGGGAGUUGUAGAGUGAGAAGGUCUCUCCUGAGCCUCCUUUUCACCAGGCUGAGCCUCCCGCAGCUCCCUCAGCUGCUCUGUAUCAGCCUUGUGCUCCAGACUCUUCCCCAGC
rnacentral:lncRNA from 1 species